rnacentral:lncRNA from 1 species
CCCUCCCCCAGUGGCCGGGCGGCCCCAGCCCCGGCCCCAGCCCCGGUCCACGCUGGUUGGUCCCCCGAUCGAGAGUGGUAAGGGUUGGGGGUAGGGGGAGAGGAGGGAGGGAGGGAGGGAGGGGAGGGGAGGAGGCGGAGGACGGGGGCGGCCCUCCUGACGUGACAGCUCCCACUUAGCCAGAAGAGACAUGAAAGAGGCAACAGAUGCCACUUCAGUAGCAGAGCAUCAUGGGAGCCCAGCCGGCUUGCUCCUGUUCCAGCGUUCAAACCCAAAGGGCAUCUCUAUUACCCCAGCAAGAAGAUCAAACUGCUGCUGCUGCUGCUAAGUCGCUUCAGUCGUGUCUGACUCUGUGCGACCCCAUAGAUGGCAGCCCACCAGGCUUCCCCAUCCCUGAGAUUCUCCUGGCAAGAACACUGGAGUGGGUUGCCAUUUCCUUCUCCGAUGCAUGAAAGUGAAAAGUGAAAGUGAAGUUGCUCAGUCGUGUCUGACUCCUAACGACCCCAUGGACUGCAGCCUACCAGGCUCCUCUGUCCAUGGGAUUUUCCAGGCAAGAGUACUGGAAAAGAGCACUGGAGUGGGGUGCCAUUGCCUUCUCCGAGGAAGAUCAAACUAGUCAAUCCUAAAAGAAAUCAACCUUG